rnacentral:rRNA from 1 species
GAUGAACGCUGGCGGCGUGCCUAAUACAUGCAAGUCGAGCGAACGGACGAGAAGCUUGUUCCUCUGCUGUUAGCGGCGGACGGGUGAGUAACACGUGGAUAACCUACCUAUAUGACUGGGAUAACUUCGGGAAACCGGAGCUAAUACCGGCUAAUAUUUUCAACCGGAUGGUUCAAAAGUGAAAGACGGCCUUGCUGUCACUUAUAGAUGGAUCCGGGCUGCAUUAGCUAGUUGGUAAGGUAACGGCUUACCAAGGCAACGAUGCAUAGCCGACCUGAGAGGGUGAUCGGCCACACUGGAACUGAGACACGGUCCAGACUCCUACGGGAGGCAGCAGUAGGGAAUCUUGCGCAAUGGGCGAAAGCCUGACGGAGCAACGCCGCGUGAGUGAUGAAGGUCUUCGGAUCGUAAAACUCUGUUAUUAGGGAAGAACAUAUGUGUAAGUAACUGUGCACAUCUUGACGGUACCUAAUCAGAAAGCCACGGCUAACUACGUG